AAUUGACGGGGACCCGCACAAGCAGCGGAGCGUGUGGUUUAAUUCGUUGCUACACGAAGACCUUACCUGGGUUUGACAUAUAGGUUGUAGGGAACUGAAAGGGACCGACCCUUCGGGGAGCCUAUACAGGUGUUGCAUGGCUGUCGUCAGCUCGUGUCGUGAGAUGUUCGGUUAAGUCCGCUAACGAGCGCAACCCUCGUCGUAUGUUAUAUGUGUCAUACGAGACUGCCGGUAAAAGCCGGAGGAAGGUGAGGAUGAUGUCAAGUCAGCAUGACCUUUAUAUCCAGGGCUACACACACGCUACAAUGGUCUGUACAAUGGGUAGCCAAGCCGCGAGGCGGAGCCAAUCCUGAAAGCAGGCCUCAGUUCAGAUUGCAGUCUGCAACUCGACUGCAUGAAGCCGGAGUUGCUAGUAACCGCAGGUCAGCAAUACUGCGGUGAAUACGUUCCCGGGUCUU
rnacentral:rRNA from 1 species